rnacentral:rRNA from 1 species
ACACAUGCAAGUCGAACGGGAUGCUUAGGCAUCUAGUGGCGGACGGGUGAGUAACGCGUGAGAAUCUGGCUCCAGGUCGGGGAUAACAGUUGGAAACGACUGCUAAUACCGGAUGUGCCGAGAGGUGAAAGAUUUAUUGCCUGGAGAUGAGCUCGCGUCUGAUUAGCUAGUUGGUGGUGUAAGGGACCACCAAGGCGUCGAUCAGUAGCUGGUCUGAGAGGAUGAUCAGCCACACUGGGACUGAGACACGGCCCAGACUCCUACGGGAGGCAGCAGUGGGGAAUUUUCCGCAAUGGGCGAAAGCCUGACGGAGCAAUACCGCGUGAGGGAGGAAGGCUCUUGGGUCGUAAACCUCUUUUCUCAAGGAAGAAGAAAGUGACGGUACUUGAGGAAUAAGCAUCGGCUAACUCCGUGCCAGCAGCCGCGGUAAUACGGAGGAUGCAAGCGUUAUCCGGAAUGAUUGGGCGUAAAGGGUCUGCAGGUGGAACUGAAAGUCUGCUGUUAAAGAGUUUGGCUUAACCAAAUAAAAGCGGUGGAAACUACAGAACUAGAGUGCGGUAGGGGCAAAAGGAAUUCCUGGUGUAGCGGUGAAAUGCGUAGAUAUCAGGAAGAACACCGGUGGCGAAAGCGUUUUGCUAGACCGUAACUGACACUGAGGGACGAAAGCUAGGGGAGCGAAUGGGAUUAGAUACCCCAGUAGUCCUAGCCGUAAACGAUGGAUACUAGGCGUGGCUUGUAUCGACCCGAGCCGUGCCGGAGCUAACGCGUUAAGUAUCCCGCCUGGGGAGUACGCACGCAAGUGUGAAACUCAAAGGAAUUGACGGGGGCCCGCACAAGCGGUGGAGUAUGUGGUUUAAUUCGAUGCAACGCGAAGAACCUUACCAAGACUUGACAUCCUGCGAAUCCUGGUGAAAGCUGGGAGUGCCUUCGGGAGCGCAGAGACAGGUGGUGCAUGGCUGUCGUCAGCUCGUGUCGUGAGAUGUUGGGUUAAGUCCCGCAACGAGCGCAACCCUCGUUUUUAGUUGCCAGCAUUAAGUUGGGCACUCUAGAGAGACUGCCGGUGACAAACCGGAGGAAGGUGAGGAUGACGUCAAGUCAGCAUGCCCCUUACGUCUUGGGCUACACACGUACUACAAUGCUACGGACAGAGGGCAGCAAGCCAGGGAUGGCAAGCGAAUCCAGAAACCGUAGCUCAGUUCAGAUCGAAGGCUGCAACUCGCCUUCGUGAAGGAGGAAUCGCUAGUAAUUGCAGGUCAGCAUACUGCAGUGAAUUCGUUCCCGGGCCUUGUACACACCGCCCGUCACACCAUGGAAGUUGGUCACGCCCGAAGUCAUUACCCCAACCGAAAGGAGGG